UCGAUGAUGUUUGAAUUCAACAAUUUUUACGAGUUGUUGUGUUAUUUGAGAUUAGAAACAUAAUGGGUCACGCAACAGACAUUAAUGGGUGUCGAACACAGGUAUGAAACUAGUAAAAAUGCGAAUGGGUUUAAAAUAGGAAUUA